rnacentral:misc_RNA from 1 species
GAUGAAGAACGUAGCGAAAUGCGAUAAGUAGUGUGAAUUGCAGAAUUCAGUGAAUCAUCGAAUCUUUGAACGCACAUUGCGCCCCUUGGUAUUCCAUGGGGCAUGCCUGUUCGAGCGUCAUUUGUACCUUCAAGCUUUGCUUGGUGUUGGGUGUUUGUCCAUUCUCUUGCAGAGGGACUCGCCUUAAAGUAAUUGGCAGCCAGUGUUUUGGUUUUGAAGCGCAGCACAAGUCGCGAUUCAAAGCUAUACGCCCGCUUCCACAAGCCUUUUUCACUUUUGACCUCGGAUCAGGUAGGGAUACCGGCUGAACUUAAGCAUAUCAAUAAGCGGAGGA